UACGUAGGGUGCAAGCGUUGUCCGGAAUUAUUGGGCGUAAAGAGCUCGUAGGCGGCCUGUUGCGUCGGCUGUGAAAACCCGGGGCUCAACUCCGGGCCUGCAGUCGAUACGGGCAGGCUAGAGUCCGGCAGGGGAGACUGGAAUUCCUGGUGUAGCGGUGAAAUGCGCAGAUAUCAGGAGGAACACCGGUGGCGAAGGCGGGUCUCUGGGCCGGAACUGACGCUAAGGAGCGAAAGCGUGGGGAGCGAACAGG
rnacentral:rRNA from 1 species